rnacentral:rRNA from 1 species
CCUACGGGCGGCAGCAGUGGGGAAUAUUGGACAAUGGGGGGAACCCUGAUCCAGCCAUGCCGCGUGUGUGAAGAAGGCCCUCGGGUUGUAAAGCACUUUCAGUGAGGAAGAACGCCUGGUGGUUAAUACCCAUCAGGAAAGACAUCACUCACAGAAGAAGCACCGGCUAACUCCGUGCCAGCAGCCGCGGUAAUACGGAGGGUGCGAGCGUUAAUCGGAAUUACUGGGCGUAAAGCGCGCGUAGGUGGCUUGAUAAGCCGGUUGUGAAAGCCCCGGGCUCAACCUGGGAACGGCAUCCGGAACUGUCAAGCUAGAGUGCAGGAGAGGAAGGUAGAAUUCCCGGUGUAGCGGUGAAAUGCGUAGAGAUCGGGAGGAAUACCAGUGGCGAAGGCGGCCUUCUGGACUGAAACUGACACUGAGGUGCGAAAGCGUGGGUAGCAAACAGGAUUAGAUACCCCAGUAGUA